UACGUAGGGUGCAAGCGUUGUCCGGAAUUAUUGGGCGUAAAGAGCGUGUAGGCGGCCCGAUUAGUCCGCUGUGAAAGUCCAGGGCUCAACCCUGGAAUGCCGGUGGAUACUGUCGGGCUAGAGUCCGGAAGGGGCGAGUGGAAUUCCUGGUGUAGCGGUGAAAUGCGCAGAUAUCAGGAGGAACACCAAUGGCGAAGGCAGCUCGCUGGGACGUGACUGACGCUGAGACGCGAAGGCCAGGGGAGCAAACGGG
rnacentral:rRNA from 1 species